GGCGAACGGGUGAGUAACACGUGGGUAAUCUGCCCUGCACUCUGGGAUAAGCCUGGGAAACUGGAUCUAAUACUGGAUAUGACCUUUCUCCUUAUGGGGUUUGGUGGAAAGUUUUCGGUGUAGGAUGAGCCCGCGGCCUAUCAGCUUGUUGGUGGGGUGAUGGCCUACCAAGGCGACGACGGGUAGCCGGCCUGAGAGGGUGAUCGGCCACAUUGGGACUGAGAUACGGCCCAG
rnacentral:rRNA from 1 species